AGCUGCGAGCCACGAGUUUUUUGAACACCCCUAAUCAGAACUCCGCAGUUAAGCGUGCUUGGGCGAGAGUAGUACUAGGAUGGGUGACCCCCUGGGAAGUCCUCGUGUUGCAACCC
rnacentral:rRNA from 1 species